GAUGAACGCUGGCGGCGUGCUUAACACAUGCAAGUUGAACGAAGUGGCGGAUGGGCGAGUAACACGUGAGGAACCUGCCUUUCACAGGGGAAUAACACUGGGAAACCAGUGCUAAUACCGCAUAGUGAAAGAUGGCCUCGCGCCUGAUUAGCUGGUAGGUGAGGUAACGGCUCACCUAGGUGAUGAUCAGUAGCCGGACGUGAGUUUGAUCGACCGCAUUGGGACUGUGACAAGGACCAGACACCUACGGGAGGCAGCAGUGAGGAAUAUUGGGCAAUGGCGCAAACCUGACCCAGCAACGCGGCUUGAAGGAAGACGGUCUUCGGAUUGUAAACUUCUUUGGACAAGGACGCGGUACCUGUAGAAUAAGCCACGGCUAACUACGUGCCAGCAGCCGCGGUAAUAC
rnacentral:rRNA from 1 species